rnacentral:lncRNA from 1 species
AAAAGGAAGAGAGAACCACUGUCUUAAAUUUCUGAUUGUGUGAUAAAACUUUUAAAAUAACUUAAGAUUUCCAAAGUUUCAGGAUUAGUUCAAGAAAUCCCUGUCUAGCCUGCACUAUGCUUUGUCCUACAUGCUCAAAAUUAUUACAAAUUAAACUUAGCAUCUGUGCAGUGCUGUUGCCUUAGAUAUAAGCCAAAUUCUGAUUUUGCCAGGUUUUGCAGCCGUCAUAUAGUUUCAUCCUGAAUGAUGAUGCAGGAUCCCAUGAUUCAUUGCUGUGUGUUCUCCAACAUGGCCUACUCUAUUGAAAUGGUUUUCACUAUUGAAAGUACUAACUUUGCCCCUAUUUAAGGGUACUGCUCAGAUGGUCCGAUGUUUUCUGGGAUAGCUCAAGAUGAGCUCUCCUAGGGAAUUUCUCAGAGAGAUGUAUUUCAGCAGGAAGGCACAGAAGAGUGAGACAGGUUUUAGCACUGUAAGAACUAGAAAAUAAGAUUUGUUUAAGUACGUUCCAAGUUAAAUAGUGGUGAAAUUGGCAUGGGAAAGUUGAUUGUGGGUGUUUCACUCUGCAUUUUAUGAUUAUUGCUGUUUAGGUUUCUGUGAUUAUAAUGCCGUGAAAUUGGGCUUUUCCUAGUGACUUUUUACUCAGUUCUUUUUCCAUUUCUCUGUGUGGUCUGUCCACCUGCCCCAUCCUCAUAGAAAGCUUAGGGGCUGCCACAGCCGGUUCAGAAUCUUAUUAGUUGACAACUGUGCCAGUUUGGUCAGACUGUUUCAGCUCUGCUUGCUUAAGUAGAGUGGGUAGGGAGUGGGGCUCUAUGGAUCCACCCUAUGGCUUUUUUCCAUCUUAAGAAGUAAACAGAUUUGUUGAAAAUGCCUUUUAGGUUACUUGCUUAUGUAGACUGAGUUAGUAUAAAUACAAAUAUCUCAGGUCUUUGAAAAAUAUCUCUGGAAUAGAUAAUAAAAAAACCACUGAAGGUUUCUGCUGGAAACAGAGAAAGAACCGUGGAUAAUUGUUAGGGCAGCCACAGUCAGAAAGGGCUGAUAAGAGAGCUGCUACCCUUUAGAUUCCUUCUCAGUUUGUCAUUUUCAUACCUGCAUGUGCAGAACUGUCUACAGGGAUGAGCUGGUGUGUGUGUUUGUGUGUGUGUGUGUUUGCGUGUCCGAGUAUACACAUGUGCACAUGUGUAUAUGUAUUCCUGUAGAUUGAUAGGUUUGCACUUUUGUAUUGAUAUGUACAUACUUAUAUAUAGGGAUAUGUUAACAUAUAUAUUCCUACAUUUAUUUAUAUUACUACAUAUGCCUGUAGUUAUAUGUUUUAGAAGAGGAAAUGGUAUUUAGUCAGCUAUGGCAAGCCUUAUCUUACUCUUUCCAAAUAUUCCAUAACUGUUAUUCUAUCCAUUUUAUGAAAGAAGACAGUAAAUCCAGGAAGACUCAAGUUUCCUGAGUCACAGAACCAGCAGACCCCAGUACCAGGAUGCCAACCCAGAACUGCUUCUGCUUGUCUUACUUGCUCAGAAGUUACCUCUCAUCACUGACGUAGUUUGGGGAGUAGAGGACCAUCCAUAGCCCUUCUUGCUGGAUCCUCCUUCACCUUCUCCCCAGCCACACACACAACCCAGGCCUCUGAAAUACAAUAUUGAAUUUAAGAUAUAGUUUGAAAACUGCUAAGGCCUCCUUCAAUAUAAAGGAGAGUUGUUGAUCAGCAGCACAUUUGAUACAUAGAUUGUGUUGUUGUUGUUGUAGGAAGCUGUUCUGAAAUGGAGUGGUUUGAGUGCUUUAAAAGGGGACUAUAGUAUUGUUCUGUUUACCUAGCUGCCUGACUAGAGGGUGCAUCAUGUGCUGUGUUCCUGUCCUGGUUCUUCCCCAUCAUCUCUGUUCUUUCUUUCCCAGCUUCUUACUUCCUCAGAGCUUUCUCUCCAUGGUAUGCUGGUGGCCAUGCAAAAGUCAAUGCCACAGUUUCCCCUUGGGUCUCUGCCUAGCCUAAUCUCUAGCCAUCUCAUAAAGAAUAUGUUUUCUGGUUGUGCUCUGAUGUUAGUGUGCUCUAGCAUUUGAGAGCUUCUAUCAUAAACACUGCAGUGCAAGCCCAAGAUACUUCCUCCUAGAUACUUCUCAGGAACGAUUUGUCAUUUGGCAUUGAAGCUGCCAUGCCCUAGUGUAACAGACUAGGUGCAGAGAUGAUUUAUAGGCAGAGAUGAUACACUGACUCCAGCUUGAGUUAAUCUAACUCCUCUGGGCAUUUGCAGAUUUCUCUCUCUGUCAUUUCAUAGGGAGGAUUGUUUUUACUGCCCUGUAGGAGUGUAACAGGUUUACCUAAGUUCCCUGUUUACCAACAGAGCAAGGCCAUGUCUAGGUCAUUGCACUGCCUCAUCCCUGGAGCUCUGUUGGUCCUCUAAGCAUUUACUGAAAUUCAUCUUUAGCUCUCUUUUCUCUUGACACAGCCAUUGAUUUUUUUUUCUUGUUAUUUUUUUUUUCUCUUGAACUACCCCUCUAUUACCAGUUGAGUUGAUUUCUGAUUGGCUAACAGACUGUCUUUUCACUGCUCCGUUUCCUCCUGAGAUUAGAGUCAAGCCAAGUGGAUGUGAUGCCUGACCAUGAAGAUUCUCACUGGUCGCUCCAUCCGUAUGUAUGCCAGGCCAGCGCCCAGCACUUGGGAUGUGCAUCCCUUCACUUUCCUGUCUCCAUUUCUCACUGACUCAUUGGUGAGCCGGGUGCUGGGAGAGUGCAGCCCUGAGUGUCUCACUCCUUAGGAUGUUAGUUGUACAUCUUUCACAACUCUCGCCUUGGAUACAUUUUCAAGUGGACUCUAUUCUCUUCAAUAAUAUCUUAUCUAACAUAGCACUCUGUACUGUCCAAAAUAUUUCACAUAUUCUCACUUAAUCUUGUACACAACAUACAGAAUUUCAUUAUUUGGUUGUCCAUAAUUUCUACUCACUGGAAAACUUCCAUUAUGCCUUCUCCCCCUCUUUUUUUUUUUAAACCAUUUCAGCGAUAAUGAUCAAUCUAAGUAAAUAGUAAUAUUCUUUCAAGUUUUAAUUUGGUGACCAUUUCCCUAUUUCUAUCAAAUAUGUUCAAUACUUUAUUCAUUUUGGGGCCCCGGUCUGAUAGGGCUAGUAAUUUCAGUUAUUGAUAAGGCUGAUGAUAAUGGGGGGUGGGGGGAUGUAGUGCUAGCAAGCAUUCAUCAAAUGCUUACCUUGUUCCCAAGGGCAGUUUUUAAAGGCACCAGAUAUGUGUUAGCUCAUGAAGUUCUCUCAACUCAACUAGGUCCACAAAUAAGAAUUCUGGGAGGGUUUCAUAAGUCACUUAAGGUCAUGGAAUUCACAAGUGUCAGAGCCAACAUAUGAGCCCAGUUAUCCUGAUUCCAACCUCUAUAUACAUGAACUAUAAAACAGUAGAAAUAACUGCAAGAAACCAUAUGUGUUCAUUUGCUGAUAACUGCUUUGGAAACGUCUAAGUAUUCCAUGAAUGCUACUUUUCUUGUCACUACAAUGUGAAGGGCAGACACUGAGUCAACCUUUGCUGGAUCAGCUUUUGCUGUUGCCAUUCUUGCUGUCUUGUUGGGCAGCAUGAAUUACGGAAAUGGAACAAGGCUAUCUUGUAAAAUUUUCUGAGUGUCUCCACUGGCCACUGCCACUAAGAUUACCUUAGAUAAAAUAAGACUUUUAAAACAUGAGUCCCAAGGUGCAUGUAGGAAGUUAUAUUUAUAUAUUGCCUGUAGCUGAAAGGUCAGCCUGGACAGAGCCCUGCAGGCAGAACAGAGGUGGCGAGUGCUAAAUCUGAGGCCGACUGGGGGAUCUUGGUCUGGCUUGUAGUUGUGACUUAUAGUGGGAAUACUUUCUUCAAGGAGUAGGAGUGGGUGGUGGCAAGACAUGACAGCCAAAUGUAGUGCUGUUGGCCCUCUCUGCAGAGGAUAAGAACUCUCACUUGUUAGUGGAGCUCUUAAAGAGGUCUAUAAUUCACUAAUUAUAGAGUAUUGACUUGAGUGAUUGAUUACCCAUCAGUACAUUCGCUGGGAUGAAGAUGAGGCUUUAAAAUUAGCACUGUUGGUUGGAGAUGACUAUGUACAAUGAUUGAAGGGCCCUUUGUUAACUCUUCCUUAUAUUCUCUGUGAGUAGAGACUGCAGACAUUCUAUUCAAAUUCAUUCAUCCUCAGGAGUCCUUUGGGAAGCAGAAGGAUGCAAUGGAGAAGGGAAAUGGAGAUGUUUGUUUAAAUCCUUGGUUUGGUCUUAACAGGUAGUUCCAGAAAAUGCUGCAAGAUAGAAAAGACCCCUUGGGUUAGGGACAAGUGUAUAGUAAAGGGGGUGGGGUUACAAGGAAGUAGUAAGGACUAGACUAUCAUGGAACUGUAUUCCCUUGCAUACAGUUUGUAUGUUUCUUUGUUUGU